rnacentral:rRNA from 1 species
AGAGUUUGAUCCUGGCUACAGAGUGAACGCUGGCGGCAGGCCUAAUACAUGCAAGUCGAACGGCAGCACAGCAGAGCUUGCUCUGUGGGUGGCGAGUGGCGGACGGGUGAGGAAUACGUGGGAAUCUGCCCAGUCGUGGGGAUAACGUAGGGAAACUUACGCUAAUACCGCAUGCGCCCUUCGGGGGAAAGCCGGGGACCUUCGGGCCUGGCGCGAUUGGAUGAGCCCACGUCGGAUUAGCUAGUUGGCGGGUAAAGGCCCACCAAGGCGACGAUCCGUAGCUGGUCUGAGAGGAUGAUCAGCCACACUGGAACUGAGACACGGUCCAGACUCCUACGGGAGGCAGCAGUAGGGAAUAUUGGACAAUGGGCGCAAGCCUGAUCCAGCCAUGCCGCGUGAGUGAAGAAGGCCCUCGGGUUGUAAAGCUCUUUUGUCCGGAAAGAAAAGCGCCGGGUUAAUACCCUGGUGUCCUGACGGUACCGGAAGAAUAAGCACCGGCUAACUUCGUG